rnacentral:rRNA from 1 species
UACAGAGGGUGCAAGCGUUGUUCGGAAUUAUUGGGCGUAAAGGGCGCGUAGGCGGUGCGGUAAGUCUGCGGUGAAAUCUCCCGGCUCAACUGGGAGGCUGCCGUGGAAACUGCCGUGCUUGAGUGUGGGAGAGGUGAGUGGAAUUCCCGGUGUAGCGGUGAAAUGCGCAGAUAUCGGGAGGAACACCUGUGGCGAAGGCGGGUUGCUGGCUGGAUACUGACGCUGAGGCGCGAAAGCCAGGGGAGCGAACGGG